rnacentral:rRNA from 1 species
UACGAAGGGGGCUAGCGUUGCUCGGAAUGACUGGGCGUAAAGGGCGCGUAGGCGGUUCGUACAGUCAGACGUGAAAUUCCUGGGCUUAACCUGGGGGCUGCAUUUGAUACGUGUGGGCUUGAGUGCGGAAGAGGGUCGUGGAAUUCCCAGUGUAGAGGUGAAAUUCGUAGAUAUUGGGAAGAACACCGGUGGCGAAGGCGGCGACCUGGUCCGUGACUGACGCUGAGGCGCGAAAGCGUGGGGAGCAAACAGG